AGAGAGAGAGAGAGAGAGAGAGAGAGAGAGAGAGAGAGAGAGAGAGAACGAACCCUUUGCUCGCCGAAACGAAACGCCAGCUCGAUUUGCGGACCCUUGCACCUAUACCUAUACACAGCGGACGGGCGCAAGAAAAGCCAAAACGUGAGACGCCAACCAAUCGCUACUCGAUGCACGCGUGAGCGCGUGGCGGCUUUUUAUCCGGAACUGUUUUGUUUUUCGCCAGCCGCCGGAAUGGUAUGCAGCGAUAGAUCAUGAUCUCGAUCGACGCCGAGGCAUUCGCGCGCGGCGCAGGCCUUUAGCUCUUCAUCUUAAUCGGACAUGCGCAGGGUCGAUGUUGGCUACUUGGCUAAGUCGCUUGCUAAAUAAACGGAGAAACCAAGUGCUUCGUAAAUUCGGAGUCGCGAUCGAAAGCGCAUCGGUGUACAACGAGAGGAAAGCGCGCGGGUAAAAAAAGACAAUGCAAAAGCUGCACAUCACGAGACAAGAGGAAGAGGAGACUCGGUGCGGUGAGUCGACUCGCGAGCGAACGAACUCGGCUCCACGCUCGCACGGAGCAGAGAACUCGAGUGGCUCCCCCACCAGCCGGUCUCUCGGUCGCGAGACGCGGCGCGUGUCAACCUUGCCUUGUCCUUGAAACCACGCGACCGCGAGCGAGCGGCCCGACUGUGAGUAUAAUGCCAAGAGCCGCCGCCGGCGCGCGCGCACUAUACCGCGACUGUUAUAUACAGCGAGAGAAUGCCUCGCUUGCGCGCGCGGACGUCUGCCCCUAGCUGCUAGAUGUCUCGCGCGCCAAAGCUUCUUUGCGUCUUAUCAGCUGAUCCAUCGACUCGUACGAGCGCGGUCAUUUAAUCUCGGACUAUGCGAGAUUUGUCACGGCGAUUACACGUUAUGGAAGAUGAUAGAUAAGGCCGCGUAUAGGCCGAGUUCAGAGUGAUGUUCCUGUUUUCGAGCGACCUUUGCUUAUUUUCGCCGGUUCGGAUAUGCGCCAGCGAUCUUUCAAUAAUACAAUGGGCAACGCGCGCGCGAUUCGAGUUUCCUUAAUGAAAGCGUGCGAACGAAUUUCUGAAUCGAAUCCAAGCGCGCUCGUGCGCGCUCUCGUGUAUUUUACUCCCCUGGGGUCAGCUUGCGCUGUGGCGAGACAUUUGAUAUCGGAGUAUGAUUAACCAAUAGGCCUCGUGCCAACUUUGGUUACGUGCGCGUAUAUUUAUCAGCUGUUUAGACUUCUCCGAAUUACGUCUCUCUCCCAUACGCCUGUGCCAGUCGUUCGGGCGACGAAAAAUUAAACGUGCGUGUUGACUCCCGCUCGUUUUGAUUCGCGCGUGAAAAGCUACUUCGAUAAUAUUUUGCAGUUCGAAGAGUAGAUUUCUAUCUGCAGCGGAUGCAGAGCGACUUUUGUUUUGAAUGAACGAUUGCGCAACGUAGGAGAGUCAUCGCGUUUGUGCAAAUUAAAACAAUCGCUUCCUGCCCGUAGUUCUACGUUACGGUGUACAACAAUAGAGGAUGUGCUCUCGUACCGCCGACAACGAUCUGGAGCUAAUGCGCAUUGUGUUCUGCGCGUUAUUGUGCAUUCGUCAUCAUCGAACGCGCAACAUUCCUGCGCUCUUGUAGCAAAAAAACCCGUCGGAUGUGUCUCGUGUUCUUUUUUUCCGUCGAUACAGAUAGAGGUAGCCUACGGUAGCCGUAUCAAUUAAUCGCUUGGGAAUACCAGGGACUACGAGCUUGCGUCUGGUUCAGACGCAUUUUAAUUAUGCAAAUGCCAUUCUGCCCGUUUUUCGCAAUCGUCUCACACGCGGUGGCGGUGACUCGCGACUCGGGACUGCACGCGGCUUAUACUCGGUGAAUAUCGCAUGCGUCAUAUGUCAUUUGCAUCCACUCAGCGCCAUUGACGCCUUUCGAUUCUCUUUUUUCUCGCGAUUUCGUUUUUUGCCUCGUCUUCGGUUAUUCGACUGCGUCAGAAUCGUGUCCCCUCGUGAGCCGCCGCUGCGGCUGUAUCAAAAGAGAUUGCGAAUGGUUGCGAAUACCGCGGUUACACUACUUCGGUGAAAAUUCGAUCCGUAUACUCGCGGUUCUCGAGACUGUUUGCGUGCCUGAGUCAUGUGUCUCGAGCCGACCGUGCGCACUUGGCUUUUAUUUAAGAAACGUGCACACACAGCGGCGUAAGCGCCUGACGUUUGUGUAAUAGAGCAAGCAUUCGAUCGGCGAGACGACGAUCGCUUGCGCGCCCGGCGGUCGGCUUAUCGCUGAUUGUAUACGUAUCGAGUGGGAAGAAUGUUAGUGCAGACGCUACGAGUGAAAAGCGCGUAAUAAAUUGCGCGAUCGAAAACGUACUGUUCUGUACGGCUUGGGGCACUUAUGUAGCGAUAAAACGGACUUUCCCGCGAGUCCGCGCGCGACAUGUGAUAAAUGCGAAACAUGCACGCUGGGAGAGGAAGAUCGCUGUUGAUUUACUCGUGACUCGUGAUGGACAACAAAUUUAUUGAUAUAAUCAAUAUUGCACUCGCCUGCGCUUUGCGCGCUUACAAUACGUUUUACCACAAAAGAUAAAUGCUUAUCGCGGUGUAUUGCACUCUUGAAAUCAACAAAAUUUUUACAGCAGCAAAAUUUUAUUAGUAUAAAGUUGAGCGAAAUUCCGCCAGACGGCAGCACGUCUCCGUUCGGUCCGAAAUCCGUGCGAGCCGAGGGGCUGGUAGAGGGGUUUCGGGUACUCAAACCAGUGCGAGCGUACCUUGACUAUAUCUGACGGGGACUCCUCGAGAGGCCCAAACUUGGAGCGAUCACCACCAGGUGGAGACACGUGACCGACCAUCGUCCGAUCCAACCAAGUCUCCUGCAAUCGAGCGGGUGAUGUUCUUCGAAGAUGCGUUUGAAUAGCAUCUAUGUUACGCAAAUGACCUAUUUAUAUUUUUAAAUAAACCGUUUCUUGCUUUAUAUAAAUCUGGUGUUUUUUAGAUACUAUUUUCUAAUGUGCUUAGGAUUUACCCAUUAUUCGUUUUUUGAGUAAAUUGUAUUUAGAAUAUAUUCAGAGAGUUCAACUUCGCGCUUGAAAUGCCAGUAACGAAUGCGAAUAAUAAGAUUUAAUAAUGUACGUUUGAUCCUCAAUUCAAAAAUAAAUCAUCUGUGUAAAUCUUUU